AAAGUCGUAACAAGGUUUCCGUAGGUGAACCUGCGGAAGGAUCAUUAAUGAAUAAACUUGGUGGACUGUUGCUGGCUCCUCAGGGGGUACUGUGCACGUCUGUCAUUUUUACUUUUCCACCUGUGCACCUUCUGUAGACCCGCAUUCUGGUUAUCGAGCUUCGGGAGUCAAAUCCCUUUGUCUCGGAGUUGAGGUUUGCUGCGCGGCUUCACUGCUGUCGGCUUUCCUGUGAGCAACAUCCAGAGGGUCUACGUUAUUACAACAUACCCCAAAUGAAUGUAUCAGAACGUUUACAAGGCCUUAAAACAGCCUAUAAAAUCUAUACAACUUUCAGCAACGGAUCUCUUGGCUCUC
rnacentral:misc_RNA from 1 species